UUUUAUUUUGUUAUAUAAUUCUCAUGUCACAUUAAUAUAUGUCUUCAUAGUUAUCUAUUGAGUAGUUGAAUAAUAAUUUUCUUAGCUCUUCUUCAUCCAUUGAACAUUUAGAUUAACAAUGUUUUACUGUUGUCACUGAUUCUGUGAAAAAUAUUUUGGGGCUAUUUCCUGGACAGUGAAUUACUUAGGCAAGAAAGUUGUUGAUGCUUAGGGUAAGUAGUACAUGUUGCCACAAUGUGUUUCCAACAGCGUUGUAUAGAUGAAGAUGCCAGCAGUAAUGUUAAGUAGUGCCAUUGUUGUGACAUCCCUGCCAGUAUUAUAUAUAGGAUGUUUUCAAAAUGUUUGUGACUUUAAAAACCAGAGAAUGGUACCUCAUUUUAUUCUUUUUGUGCUUCCAUUUAAACAUUAGAGUGAAGAAGGAGCUCCACAGGAAGGCAUUCUGGAAGAUGUGCCCGGAGAGCCUGACGAGACUUAUGAAAUGCCUUCUGAGGGAGGUUAUCAAGACUACGAGCCUGAAGCCUAAGAAAUCUCUUUGCUCCCAGUUUCUCAAGAUCUGCUGACAGAUGUUCCACCCUGUACAAGUGCUCAGUUCCAACAUGCCCGGUCAUUUUCCCAAAGUUUUUACAGCGUAUUUUGGAUUCUUCCAUCAGCAGUGAUUGAAGUAUCUGUACCUGCCCCCCACUCAGCAUUCCGGUGCUUCAGUGAAUAUAUGGUAGCAGGUCCCUGUGUGCUGUGUGGAUAUUGUGGCUUCAAAUGAAAAAUGUUAAAACAAAUUAAAAACACCUAAGUGACUACCACUUAUUCCUAAAUCUUCACUAUUUUUGUUGUUGCUCUUGUUGAGAAGUUGUGACUUACUAUCAUAUAUUUUAAGAUUUUUAGGUGUCUUUUAAUGAUUCUGUCUAAGAAUAAUGAUGUAUUGUGAAACUUGCUAAUAUAUGUAACACUUAAAAAUAUGUGAGCAUGAAACUAUGGACCUAUACAUAUUAACUAUGAAAUUGUACUGUUUUGUGGUGUGUGUUGUGUUUGUAUAUAAAUGGUGAAAAUUAAAAUAAAAUGUUAUCUCAUUA